GCCCGCUUGGCGGAAUCGGUAGACGCAGCGGACUUAAAAUCCGCUUUCCCUAGGAAGUGCCGGUUCGAGUCCGGCAGCGGGCA
rnacentral:tRNA from 1 species